UCUAGAAGCUUCGGCAAUGGGGGAAACCCUGACCGAGCGACGCCGCGUGUAGGAUUGGAGGCCUUCGGGUCGUAAACUACUGUCAGAAGGGAAGAAUGCCCGGGUGGUGAACUCGGGAGAGACGGUACCUUCAGAGGAAGCCCCGGCUAACUCCGUGCCAGCAGCCGCGGUAAUACGGAGGGGGCAAGCGUUGUUCGGAUUUACUGGGCGUAAAGGGUGCGUAGGUGGUUGUGUAAGUCUGGUGUGAAAGCCUCACCGCUCAACGGGAGGAUGUCACUGGAAACUGCAUAACUUGAGUAUGGUAGAGGCAAGCGGAAUUCCUGGUGUAGCGGUGGAAUGUGUAGAUAUCAGGAAGAACACCGGUGGCGAAGGCGGCUUGCUGGGCCAUUACUGACGCUGAGGCACGAAAGCGUGGGGAGCGAACG
rnacentral:rRNA from 1 species